rnacentral:lncRNA from 1 species
UAAAUUUUGUUGUUUCAUGUAUGGGACCUAAGCCACGAUGAUCGAAUAGAGAUCGCGAAGAUCAAUUGGAAAUAUUGCAGACUUGGUCCCAGUGGUUUACUAAUUACGGAGUUGGUCCUAGUGGUUGUAAAGUUUGCACUCAGGUAAUUAAGGAUCUGGCAUGGUAUGAUACGUUUUUCAUGCUGCUUAAGAGAAAUAAGGUCAUCCAAGUUUAGGGAUCGUGGCUCUUGCCUGGACGAGCCACAGUUCUUAAACUACGUCUGCUUUAUGUUGUGGUUAUAAAUUCUGAACAAUGUUUUAUGUUAUUAUGUUGUAAUCUCCGUUGCAUGUGUCAGUACUUUAAAACAAUGUUGUGGUACUUCUGUUUUAAAACUUAAAUCUACGGAUGAUCUUGCAUGGUUCUUAUU